GGUCGCGUGGCUCAAUCGGCAGAGCAUCGUGCUAAUACAUAUAUUAGUCCGAUCUUAACCAAAGAUCAAGUAACGCGAGGGUUGUGAGUUCGAGUCUCACCGUGACCA